rfam:Felis catus isolate Cinnamon breed Abyssinian chromosome A2, whole genome shotgun sequence.
GCCUGGCUGGUUCAGUCAGUAGAGCAUGAGACUGUUGAUCUUGGGAUCAUGAGUCUGAGCCCCAUGUUGGGUG